GACAAUAUAGUUGCAGUUGGUAGAGUAUGAGACUCUUAAUCUCAGGGUUGUCGAUUCAAGACCCACUUUGGGCA